rnacentral:misc_RNA from 1 species
GUAGGUGAACCUGCGGAAGGAUCAUUAACACGUAUCCAACGUUAAACCCCCCUGUGAACUUUCAGCACUGCUCUUGCGUUUGUCUUCAUAUUGCCAUCCCUAGUAAAUCAUGGUCAACAGUUUGAUUUAGGGACUUCAGUGUGCUUGGCAGCUGUCAAUUGAGCGGUAGUGUAAGCGCCUCAGCUUCUCCCUUGGGUCCUCUGAAGAAUUGGAAAGUGUCAUCAGAGAUACCGAAGAGAAGGCCCUACGGCUUCGCUAGAGGACAUCACGUCCGGCGACUAGGUGCUCGGGUCUCCAUGCCCCCUUUAGAACCCCACAGUUUCGUAGCCAGGUCGCGCUAAACCGCUGCCUAAAAAAACCGAACAACUGUUAACAAUGGAUAUCUUGGUUCUC